rnacentral:other from 1 species
GAAGUACUGGGGUGCUCGCUCGCGGCGAUGUUCCUCGAGCCUAUGUAUUAUACUUUGGGAGCCAGUACCUGCUGAUGUUGUGCACGUCCGCUAGUCGGGAAGCCUGAUUCGGUAUACAGGCUCCCCCCUGAACCUCAUGGUUCAAGGGGCUUAACCCGUAAUGACACUUUCGGUCUUCA